AAGCUCGUAGUUGAAUUUCGGGGUUAGUAGGUUGGUCAUGCCUCUGGUAUGUACUGGUCUCACUGAUUCCUCCUUCCUUAUGAACCGUAAUGCCAUUAAUUUGGUGUUGCGGGGAAUUUGGACUGUUACUUUGAAAAAAUUAGAGUGUUUAAAGCAAGCUAACGCUUGAAUACAUUAGCAUGGAAUAAUGAAAUAGGACGUUCGAUCUUAUUUUGUUGGUUUCUAGGAUUGACGUAAUGAUUAAUAGGGAUAGUU
rnacentral:rRNA from 1 species